UACGGGGGGUGCGAGCGUUGUCCGGAAUCACUGGGCGUAAAGGGCUCGUAGGCGGCCAACUAAGUCAGACGUGAAAUCCCUCGGCUUAACCGGGGAACUGCAUCUGAUACUGGAUGGCUUGAGAUUGGGAGAGGGAUGCGGAAUUCCAGGUGUAGCGGUGAAAUGCGUAGAUAUCUGGAGGAACACCGGUGGCGAAGGCGGCAUCCUGGACCAACACUGACGCUGAGGAGCGAAAGCCAGGGGAGCAAACGGG
rnacentral:rRNA from 1 species